GAACUUGGUAAAGAGAAAAGAGCUGUGUAGGGAUAGGCAGGGCCAUCCCUGUUGGAGUGGGUGGGUGUCUGUGCUACACACAUACCUUACCGGUCCAUAUUCCCCCCAUCUCCAAAUCUCUCUCUCUCUCCCCAGGAACCCACUGGAAUAUCCACAUCUGCAGCUGCCAUGCUGAAGCAGGACAUGUACUCUCCCCAACCUUGGUAUAUCUUGGGCCCAGGACAGGGCACAGUGCAGCUGCCUCAUCCAAAACGAGUAAGGGCUGCAAUCAAUGGAAGAGAACUCAGGAGGGCUGGAGGCAGCAUCUCUAUACCUGGGUCUUAGAAGCUGCCCUCCAAAGACUGGCCCAUACACAGCCAAGGGAUGACUUCACAUGGCCUUAUCCCUUCCCGGGCAUGUGGAGCGCUGGAUCCUAAUUCUGAAAUGAGUCCUGAGACUGCUUCAGUAAACUUCAACAGUAAGAACUUAAAAAACAGAAGAUAAGAAGUAGGAGAUAUGAAAGAAUACAUCUAUGGAACACACAUCACAGAUUUAGCAAAAAUUAAAAACUUCUUCACUUUGACACUUACCUGAAUGCCAUCCAGAGAAAAUUCAGCACUUUGUGCCAGGCACAAUGGCAAGCACUGUAUGGCGUCAUUCCAUUGUGAAUCCCACAAGGUGCCUGCUAUGGCUGUGGGGACCUGCCUCAGACAGAAGAGAAAGCUGAGGCUCAGAGCUUAGGGAGGCAGGUCUGUGUCGGAGCCAGGUUGUGAACUCAGGACUGUCUGUCCCCACAGCCUGCACCUCACUGUGUGCCUCCCUCAGUCAGCACAAUUUUAUGGGACCAAGUGUUUUAGUCAUGGCACAGAGCAACAGUGAAUUUCGAAAUAUAACUAGACUUCCUUUCUUCUCUUUAAAUUAAACUAUCUCAUAAUUGCUUCUGUUUGAUCCAUUUUGCAAUUUUUAUUCAUUUAUUCUCUUAUUCAGUCGCUUCCUCAUUUGGCGCUCUCUCUCUCUCUCUCACACACACACACACAUGCACACACACACGCACACACACACACACAUACACACGCAUACACACAGAGGAAUAACUACUAAAGUCACAGUUCUUGAAAAAUUUAAAGUGGAAUCUGUUUAAAGUUUGCUUCAAGGUGUAGAUUCAUGCAUUUUACCAGAAGAUAAGAGCAAAAAGCAAAAGCGGAGAAAAAAGCGGUUUACAGACACAAGGAAGAGAUGGCAUCUUACAAGUAUAAAGCCUGUUCAAUAAAAUGUGAUUUCAUGACGGUCA
rnacentral:lncRNA from 13 species